UCCAACCCUGGUUGGAUGAAGUUUGUCCAACCUGGGUACGUGGUCCAAUCAGGGCACGCAUGUUCAUAAUAAAUAUAAAAUUAAACUGGGCAUUGCCCAUCUAUUUUCGGAUAAAAUCCAUUUAUGUAAGAUUCUUUCCUUUCUCUCUACAAGCAUCUUCCUCCACCACGUCGUCCCAAUUCCUCACAAUCCCAGUCCUCCACCUUGGCGUCCGAUACGGCGUCUAAGAUCUCCUGCAACCCCAAGAUCCGAUCGUCGCCUCUGAUGGCUGCCACCGUUUCCUGCUACUGGAGGAGCCGUUCCAAGCGGUUGGCUUCCGAAUUGACGGCUGAGAUCUUCUUCACGAGUGUGCGGACUAUGUAGGAGCGGUAGGUGGACGGUAUCUUCACGGCGUUGGAGAGAAUGGAGGAUUUGCAGCCAGUGGAUUAGAUAGAAACAAUUUGUGAAGGGUCUGGAUCUGAGCCUGUAUUGCAAUAACCGGAGAAGAAGAGGCGCGUGAGCGCUUGAAAACGCGUUAGAUCAACUCGCAUGAGCGCGUGACGGCGAGUGGUCGGAGAAGUUGAGUCCGGCGAUGGUAAUCUGUGCUCGAAGUUCAGUCGAAUUGGUGGCAAUAGUGACCUGCGAAUACGUCUCUCUCUAGAUUAGGGACUGCUAUUUGGGUAAGGCAUUCUACGAAGAGGAGGUCAAAAGGCUUUGCUUGGCAUUCGAACAACAGUUCCAUUAUGGCGUAUUCUUUGCGUACAUGAGGUUAAGGGAGCAGGAGAUUAGGAACCUGAUGUGGAUAUCUGAAUGUGUUGCUCCAAUAUGUGCAACUUUAAUUUUUUUCUCUCUCAAAUAAGUGUAAUUAUGAUGAAUUUGUUAUCUGGAAGAAUGAUUCCGUAUGUGUUCUCAGAUU